GGAAGGCUCUAGGGGAAUAAAGAUGGAAAGACUUCUAAUUUUUAGGUCCGUAUGAUUUGAAAUACUUGCACACAAACCGCACGAAAGCGUUCCUGGAAAUCUCAGCCUAAAAAGGAUGUUUAGUAAUUCUAAAAGGGACUACAAGAUGAAAAAUAAUAGUUUGGGCAGUUAAAAUUUGAGAUUCGACGAUGCCGUAGAUCCGUUUGGUCAUCAGGUGUUAUGAGCCACACCCAUGUCUAGCUAGAAUAGUGUGUUAGGCUCAGGCUAGAGAAGAAACGGGGAACAAACUGAUGAAAGAAUGAUCAUACCGAGGGAAUUCACUCAGAACUAACAAGAAUGAUAACGUGCUCCGACUGGAGCAGUUUAGAAACUGCUGGAAGGCUCUAAUGGAAUAAAGAUGGAAUGCCUUCAAAUUUCUAGGUCCGUAUGAUUUGAAAUACUUGCACACAAACCGCUCGAAAGCGUUCCUGGAAAUCUCAGCCCAAAAAAGGACGUUUAGUAAUUCUAAAAGGGACUACAGGAUGAAAAACAAUAGUUUUGGCAGUUAAAGUUUGAGAUUCGAUGGUGCCGUAGAUCCGUUUGGUCAUCAGGUGUAACGAGCCACACACAUGUCUAGCUAGAGUAGUGUGCUAGGCUCAGACUAGAGAAGAAACGGGGAACAAAGUGAUGAAAGAAUGAUCAUACCGAGGGAAUUCACUCAGAACUUACAAGAAUGAUAACGUGCUCCGACUGGAGCGCUUUAGUAACUGCUGGAAGGCUCUAGGCGAAUAAAGAUGGAAUGACUUCUAAUUUUUAGGUCCGUAUGAUUUGAAAUACUUGCACACAAACCACGCAAAACCGUUCCUAGAAAUCUCGGUCGAAAAAAGGACGUUUAGUAAUUCUAAAAGGGACUACAGGAUGAAAAACAAUAGUUUUGGCAGUUAAAGUUUGAGAUUCGAUGGUGCCGUAGAUCCGUUUGGUCAUCAGGUGUUACGAGCCACACCCAUGUCUAGCUAGAGUAGUGUGCUAGGUUCAGACUAGAGAAGAAACGGGGAACAAAGUGAUUAAAGAAUGAUCAUACCGAGGGAAUUCACUCAGAACUAACAAGAAUGAUAACGUGCUCCGACUGGAGCGGUUUAGGAACUGCUGGAAGGCUCUAGGGGAAUAAAGAUGGAAUGACUUCUAAUUUUUACGUCCGUAUGAUUUGAAAUACAUGCACACAAACCACGCAAAAGCGUUCCUGGAAAUCUCAGCCUAAAAAAGGACGUUUAGUAAUUCUAAAAGGGACUACAGGAUGAAAAAUAAUAGUUUGGGCAGUUAAAAUUUGAGAUUCGACGCUGCCGUAGAUCCGUUUGGUCAUCAGGUCUUACGAGCCACACCCAUGUCUAGCUAGAAUAGUGUGUUAGGCUCAGGCUAGAGAAGAAACGGGGAACAAACUGAUGAAAGAAUGAUCAUACCGAGGGAAUUCACUCAGAACUAACAAGAAUGAUAACGUGCUCCGACUGGAGCAGUUUAGAAACUCCUGGAAGGCUCUAGGGGAAUAAAGAUGGAAUGACUUCAAAGUUUUAGGUCCGUAUGAUUUGAAAUACUUGCACACAAACCGCGUGAAAGCGUUCCUGGAAAUCUCAACCCAAAAAAGGGCGUUUAGUAAUUCUAAAAGGGACUACAGGAUGUAAAACAAUAGUUUUGGCAGUUAAAGUUUGAGAUUCGAUGGUGCCGUAGAUCCGUUUGGUCAUCAGGUGU
rnacentral:lncRNA from 1 species